GGGUGGCCAUAGUUGAUUGAUUUAUCAAUCAUCUUCGUUAUCAUUGGGACUACAUUGAGUAUAUUAUUGACUUGUUAAAAGUAACAAAAGUGUACUCUCUCUUUAUCAGUUUAACUUUUUAGAUGAUAUCGUCACACAAUCAUUAGAAUUUUGCAAUGUGAGGGCUAUUCAACACAAAAGAACACACGGCUAUGUAAGUUAACAGAGAGACAGAGCAACCACCUGCAUUCUCAGAGCCGCAAAAGCCUGCCUCCAUUCUACUAGAACAAACAAGGUAACAGGGAAGGCUCAGAUUCACUUUUCUCAGAUAAAAUCCAAAGAGCUUUAAAAUUGCCAUGGCUGCAAGCAUUAGAUAGCCUUAUGAGAAAGAGAAGAAAACACCAAAACUGGAUCUUUUCUCUUCAAAUCUCAAAGACCCAUCUGAGCUGCCACGCCAAGACUUGGUCAGUGUCAACCAAAUAUUGUCCAAAUGCCUAAACAGUCUUUUCAGCUCAGGAGGAAAAUGUCUGAUUCAUCCUUCACAAACAGCAAUCUUCAUAGCCUCUAAAAAGUGAAACAGAGGGAGUAAUAAUCAAUCAAUCAAGGGUGGUUUUGCAAUUGGAAUAACUUUCAUUUGAGAGAUCAUUGGCAGCGAAGAAUGACAGAGAGGGGCAAAACCACCCAUCGAAACUCCCCACAGCUCUCUGCUUUCAUCGCAACCUAAGACUUAAACUAAGGAGAGUUACCAGAAAUUGAGGCUCAGAUUUAUGUUAUAUCCCAGGCAAAAAGAGAUCUGACGAUGCCAUGGCUGCAAAAACCACCUGAAAAUCUGGGGUUAUGCCCCGCCAAGAUACGAGUCGGAUAAUCUCAAAUGUCAGAUUAAUAAGCUCAUAAGGGAAUGAAAGGUUGCUAAAAUCAUCAUUGCCUCUUUCAAGCCAUUAAUCAUACUGCCAUAACUUCUUGCUAAACCAAAUGAAUCAAUAACAGCUUGUUUAGAUAGUUGUAACCCAUUGUAUUAUAUUGUUACUUUAAACAGGCCAAAUACAUAGAUAACCUUUCAAACUUGCCAUGAAUUGUCAGUUAGGCAGUAAUCACUUGGGCACUUCAACUUGACAGAUGCAAAAUGAGAUCCAACAUCGCCAUGGCUGCAAAAACCACCAGAAAAUCUAGGGCAUGCCCUGCCAAGAUACAGGUCGGAUAGUAUCAAAUGCCCGAUUAAGCUCAGAAGGGAAUGAAAAAUUGAUAAAAUUAUAUUCCCUCUUUCAAGCCAUCAAGCAUAUCACCAUUGACAAUUUUAACAGCAGCCUUGAAGUAUCCCAUUUGUGCAAUUUUUUCUAAUUUCCCAGAAACUGAGGCUCAGGUCCGUGUUAUAGACCAUGUUGCUCAAACUCUUCAAAAAUAUUAUCAGAUGUGUUGGAUCCAUCAAAAGUAGAGCAUUUUUUGGAGGAUUCGACAUUGGUGCGACACCAUUUUUGGAGAGUUCAAGCAACUUAGGUUAUAGCUCAACAAACAGAGAUCCGAUGAUUAAAAUGACUGAACAACCACCAGAAAAUUUGUGGACAUACCCGCCAAGAUACAGGGCACCACCACCUUCAAGCUUCCUCCUUUUUUGAGACUGCUCUUUAAUCCAAAAGAGCAAAGUCCUGAAGAGCGAAGAAAGGGCUGUUGAGAUGUUUACAGUAAUGGAGAAAUCAUUGGCUAAUGCAAAGAGAGACAACUUCCCUUUCAACAAAAAUCCUCUUAACUCUCCGGGGCCUCAUUUUAUCCCUUCUGAGCUUUUUUGUUGAGAAGAGAGAGAGAGACAAAUAAGACUCAAGUUCAGAAUGCAGGAAAUGACAAAAAUAGUCCCUUAUGUUUGAGAGUAGGUUCAACGUAGCCUCUUCAGUAUGCACUGACCUGUUUUGGUCUUCUAUAUUUGUCAAGAGAUCAGUACCUAAAUUUUCAGAUCAAUUCAAGAAAACUUCUAAAAGAUACUGUUUCAGUGAUCAAACGUAAGUUAAAUUGAGGUAAGGAGGCUCAGACUUUCGCCUAUUUAAUCAAAGAGCAGAGCUAAACCAGCCAUGGCUGCAAAUAUUGGUUGCCUCGUGAGAAGGGACUACAAGAAACCUACUAUUUCUCAUCCUUCUUCACAGACCUUCCAAGUUGUCUUUGCCAAGCCAGGACUUGGACUUGACUCCAACAUUUUCAGUCUUAUAAAGAUAAUCUUCAUAGCCUCCGUAUUUUAGGAUUCUCAAGAUACAGAAAAGGGCUUCAAAUUUGAGGAUGAACACGUGACACUUCAAUUGAAAGACAGAUAAAAGCAUGUCAUGUUAGUACCCUUACACAGCCAAAGCAACUGCUCAAAGGCCAUUUUUCUGACAAAUAAUUAAAUAGUACAAAGAGCACAAAACCUUCUGAGUUAAAUCUUGCCUUAAUUGGCAAAGAUAAUCUCUUCUCCAGUCAACACUCUACUGCUUUGACUCAUUCCUGCAGAGUUCAAAGACUUAUUUUUCAAGACAAUACAGAUAAAUGUUGCAGGUUUAAUCAAGGUACACAUAAAUAUACUUUUCUAGCAAUAGCAUGAGCUUGCCACUUUUGUUUGUUUUUUUUCUUUUUUGAUACAGAUAAUGUUGUAUUCAUCAGCAUUAAGGAUAUGCUGGAGACCUCCAAAAAUUGGUUUCCAACAAGAGAAAAAACAAAAAAGCCUAAUAGAUUACAAAGUGCCUAUAAAAUCCAAAAUUUGUGCAGCUUCUUCUAUUUUAACAGAAGAGACCCGUAAAAUUGCAAUUCAUGGAUUCAUAUACUUCCAUUAUCAAAAACAACAUAAGCAACUAGUCUUACGGCAGAAUUUUCUAAAAUCAAUAAAUUGAGGUUCAGAUCUGUGUUUACCUCUGGCAGAAAGAGAGUUCAACGACACCAUGGCUGCAAAAACCAACAGAAAAUGUGGUGCAUGCACCGCCAAGAUAUGGGUCAAAUUUAUCUCAAAUGCCCGAUUAGUAUUAGCUUAGGAGGGACGAAAGAUUUACAAAAUCAUCAUUGCCUCUUUCAAGCCAUCAAUUAUACUCAUCACCACCUGCAUAACUUGUCUCAAAGGCGGAUCCAGGAUAAAGUUAAUGCAUUCUAGACAAUAACUUUUCUCCGGAGGUGAAUCCAGGACUUUGUUUAUUGGGCUAUUGAUAGAUUAUUACACAUAUUAGCUGAAGUUCUUAAAACAAAUACAGGGUUUUGGCCUAGGUUUUACUGAAUUGAUAGCUUCCAAAACGACAGAGAAAGUACAACAACAUACCCAGUGUAAUACCACAAGUGGGUUGGGGGAGGGUAGAGUGUACAUAGACCUUACCCCUACUUUGUAGAAAUAGAGAGGUUGUUUCCAAUAGACUCUUGGCUAAGUAACGCAUCUCAAAGCAGCCUAGCAACACCAUGGCAGAGAGAAAGUGAGGCUCAGAUAUGUGUUAAGCUCGAGCAAAAAGAGAGUUCGGCGAUGCCAUGGCUGCAAUAACCACCAGAAACUCUGGGAGCAUGCCCUGCCAAGAUACGGGUUGGAUAAUCUCAAAGUCUGAUUGAUAAGCUCAUAAAGGUAUAAAAGAUUGACAAAAUCCUCAUCGCCUCUUUCAAGCCGUCAAUUAUGCUCACCACCACCUGUAUAACUCUAACCAGUCUCCAAGCAAGCAAACCCUAAAUACAAAAUAUUUUUCAAACUGACAUAAAGGCUCAGAUCUGUGUUUAAGCUCGGGCAAAAAGAGAGUCCGGCAACGCCAUGGCAGCAAAACAACUAGAAAAUGGGAGCAUGCCCUGUCAAGAUACGGGUCAGAUAAUCUCAAAUGCCCGAUUAAUCAGUUCAAAGCGGGAU
rnacentral:lncRNA from 1 species